rnacentral:rRNA from 1 species
AUUGAGCGCUGGCGGCAGGCCUAACACAUGCAGGUCGAACGAGUGGCGGACGCGUGAGUAAUGUCGGGGAAACUACCUGAUGGAGGGGGAUACCUACUGGAAACGGUAGCUAAGACCGCAUACCAUCAGCUCUUCCCAGAUGUGAUUAGCUAGUAGGUGGGGUAACGACUCACCUAGGCGACGAUCCCUAGCUGGUCUGAAAGGAUGACCAGCCAGACUGGAAAUGAGUCACGGUCCAGACUCCUACGGGAGGCAGCAGUGGGGAAUAUGGGACAAUGGGCGCAAGCCUAGUGCAGCCAUGCCGAGAGUAUGAUGAAGGCCGGCGGGUUGUAAAAUACUAGCAGCGCGGGGGCGUUACUCGCAGAAGACUCACCGGCUAACUCAGCGACAGCAGCCGCGGUAAUAC